UGGCUCAGGACGAACGCGGGCGGCGUGCUUAACACAUGCAAGUCGAGCGAGACUUCGGUCUAGCGGCGAACGGGUGAGUAACACGUGGGCAAUCUGCCCCUAGCUCUGGAAUAACUCCGGGAAACCGGGGCUAAUACCGGAUACGACCUUGGGAGGCAUCUCCCCUUGGUGGAAAGAUUUAUUGGCUAGGGAUGAGCCCGCGGCCUAUCAGCUUGUUGGUGGGGUAACGGCCUACCAAGGCGACGACGGGUAGCCGGCCUGAGAGGGCGACCGGCCACACUGGGACUGAGACACGGCCCAGACUCCUACGGGAGGCAGCAGUGGGGAAUAUUGCACAAUGGGCGAAAGCCUGAUGCAGCGACGCCGCGUGAGGGAUGACGGCCUUCGGGUUGUAAACCUCUUUCAGCAGGGACGAAGCGCAAGUGACGGUACCUGCAGAAGAAGCACCGGCCAACUACGUGCCAGCAGCCGCGGUAAUACGUAGGGUGCAAGCGUUGUCCGGAAUUAUUGGGCGUAAAGAGCUCGUAGGCGGCUUGUCGCGUCGGCUGUGAAAACCUGGGGCUCAACCCCGGGCCUGCAGCCGAUACGGGCAAGCUAGAGUUCGGUAGGGGAGACUGGAAUUCCUGGUGUAGCGGUGAAAUGCGCAGAUAUCAGGAGGAACACCGGUGGCGAAGGCGGGUCUCUGGGCCGAUACUGACGCUGAGGAGCGAAAGCGUGGGGAGCGAACAGGAUUAGAUACCCUGGUAGUCCACGCCGUAAACGUUGGGCGCUAGGUGUGGGCCACAUUCCACGUGGUCUGUGCCGCAGCUAACGCAUUAAGCGCCCCGCCUGGGGAGUACGGCCGCAAGGCUAAAACU
rnacentral:rRNA from 1 species